GAGUAAAGAUUUCGGUCGCUUUGGGAGGAGCUCGCUUACUAUCAGCUUGUUGGUAGGGUAAUGGCCUACCAAGGCUAUGACGGUUAGGGGGUGUGAGAGCAUGACCCCCAGCAUUGGCACUGAAACACUGGCCAAACACCUACGGGUGGCUGCAGUCGAGAAUCUUCCACAAUGGGGGAAACCCUGAUGGAGCGAUGCUGCGUGCGGGAUGAAGGCCUUCGGGUUGUAAACCGCUUUUGUAGGGGACGAAAUUUUUGACGGUACCCUUUCGAAUAAGAGGUUGCUAACUCUGUGCCAGCAGCAGCGGUAAUACAGAGACCUCAAGCGUUAUCCGGAUUUACUGGGCGUAAAGCGUCUGUAGGGGGUUUAUUAAGUUCCAAGUAAAAUUUCAAGGCUCAACUUUGAAUUCGCUUGGAAAACUAAUAAACUGGAGUCUAGCAGAGGUGCAUGGAACUUGUGGUGUAGGAGUGAAAUCCGUUGAUAUCACAAGGAACACCAAAGGCGAAGGCAUUGCACUGGGCUAGCACUGACCCUGAGAGACGAAAGCGUGGGGAGCAAAACGGAUUAGAUACCCGUGUAGUCCACGCCCUAAACGAUGAAUGCUAAAUGUUCGGGGAUUCGACCCCCUGGGUGUUACAGCUAACGCGUUAAGCAUUCCGCCUGGGAAGUACGGCCGCAAGGCUAAAACUCAAAGGAAUAGACGGGGAUCCGCACAAGCGGUGGAGCGUCUGGUUUAAUUCGACAGUAAGCGUGGUACCUCACCAGGGUUUGACAUCCCUUGACAGCCUUGGAAACAAGGUUUCCUUCGGGCAAGGUGACAGGUGCUGCAUGGUCGUCGUCAGUUCGUGCCGUGAGGUGUUCCGUUAAGUCGGGAAACGAACGAAACCCCUAUUGCAUGUUACAAUUUCUCAUGCAAGACUGCCCGGAUAUACUGGGAGGAAGGUGGGGAUGACGUCAGAUCUGCAUGGUCCUUAUACCCUGGGCGACACAGGCGCUACAAUGGCAGAGACAAAGGGUUGCAAAACCGCAAGGUGAAGCUAAUCCCAAAAACUUUGUCUAAGUUCGGAUUGAAGGCUGCAAUUCGCCUUCAUGAAGCUGGAAUCGCUAGUAAUCGUGAAUCAGCCACGUCACGGUGAAUAUGUUCCCGGAUCUUGUACUCACCGCCCGUCACACCAAGAGAGUUGGUAGC
rnacentral:rRNA from 1 species